UUUACCGUAAGGUAUGCACUGAAAUAAGCGGGACUGUAAAGGUCUGUACUGACGAACAGAAAUCGGAUAGGAGGCAAAACUGAAAAGACGAGGUAGCAAAGCUUACUAAAGUCCAAAGAUUAAAUCAUUCAGUUUUGUAGAUCUGACCUUAUAAGUGUCCGCCAGAAGCCGUGUCGU
rfam:Bacteroidetes bacterium RIFCSPLOWO2_12_FTLL_37_12 rifcsplowo2_12_scaffold_133, whole genome shotgun sequence.